AUUGAACGCUGGCGGCAGGCCUAACACAUGCAAGUCGAACGAGUGGCGGACGGGUGAGUAAUGUCUGGGAAACUGCCUGAUGGAGGGGGAUAACUACUGGCAACGGUAGCUAAUACCGCAUACCAUCAGAUGUGCCCAGAUGGGAUUAGCUAGUUGGUGGGGGAACGGCGCACCAAGGCGAAGAUCCCUCGCUGGUCUGAGAGGAUGACCAGCCACACUGUAACGGAGACACGGUCCAGACUCCUACGGGAGGAAGCAGUGGGGAAGAUUGCACAAGGGGCGCAAGCCUGAUGCAGCCAUGCCGCGGGUAUGAAGAAGGCCUUCGGGUUGUAAAGUACUUUCAGCGGUGAGGCGUUACCCGCAGAAGAAGCACCGGCGAACUCCGUGCCAGCAGCCGCGGUAAUUC
rnacentral:rRNA from 1 species